CGUUUCCGCGUGAACGACACUUUGCCCAAUCUGGUCCGCGCGCUACGCACCCAAUCUCGCUCGCACACCAGCCGCCGCACAACCCUAGCUCCCACAUUCCCCUCGAUCCACUGCCCCUCCCUCCUUCCCGCUCAUCACCAGGGCCUCGCCGCCGCCUACUCCUCCUCCCCCACCGUUGCUGCUUCCCCACCUCGACUUCCCUCUCUCCGUUGUUUAUCCGGUCGUCGGCGGCGCCUUGUUCCAGAUCUGGCGCAAGUUAGGCCCGGUGGUGGGGCGAAGGGGCAGUGGAGGUGGGCGACCAGGACAAGCAGCUGUCGGCCCGUCGUGGGUGAGGCUCCAAGAGGGAAGAGGCGGGGACAGGAGGCUCGAGGGAAGAGGGAUGAGGCGGGGACAGGUGAAGGAGCAGGCUGGUCCUCGUGGAGGCGGCGCCGCCGGCCAGGGGCCAUUCACCGUCGCUGGCCUCACUCACCUCGUCUAUUCUCUCGUCACCAACUCGACAAUGGAGGAUGGGACAAGCAUGCCGGUGGCCAGCCAGUGGAGCCCCACCACAGGUGGUGAGAUUUUUCUCUGCUGUCUUCUUACUCUGGGGCGUGCCCUGGAAGAACUCACCCACACCAGCCAAGGAGGAUCCAUGAUGUGUGUGAGGUAGAGGUGGAUCAUUGGAGGUGAAGCAGGUCUCCUUGAGUUGUGCUUCAUCUGAGUUUCACGGGGUACUUAAGCAAUGGUUGCACCCCGCCACAUCACAUACCAGAUGCUCAGAUUAUAAGAAAGAGAAUUUUAUAAGUCAGGCAUCGAUUGCUCACCUUUGAAAGUUACAGAUUCAAGUGCUAGGCUUUAAGAAUGAAGCAAAUCCCAAUCUAGAAACAUGUUUCGUGCACCAUAUAUUUGUCACCAGAAAUGAAUGCGCAGGCGACAGCCAUUUGAUUAGUGUUAUAUCCAACUAAGGUAUCCUUCCACCAAAUGACCACAUCUGAAUUUGUUUAACUACAAUCCGAUGCAAUAGAGUUAUGUAUUGUUCUCAUAGUCCAUCCAUUAUAUUUUGGCUUUUAAGGCUAGCUAACUGCAGUUUGAUUAUCGAUUCAUCUAUGGCAGCACAGACAGGUAAAAAUGUUUUUUUCUUGUUUUAUAGUUUUAGGUCAAAGUUCUCUUUUACCUUAACUUUUCAAUUGUACUCUGCUUUGUAGGUUCUCAUCAUACCGAUUUAGUGACUUACUAUAGUUUGAUUGCUAAUUCAUAUUUUAUUCUUUUAUAUUAUGCAGCUUCCUCUGUGUACUGUUGGGAUAAAUUCCAUGACUUUGUAUCUUGUUUAAAUGGCUAGGAUUUGAGAUUGUUUGAAUCCAUUAUGACACAAUGUUCUGACCAUCAACUAGGGUGCUCAAUGCGCAAUAGAUAGCUUUUGGUUGUCACCAUUAGGACAGAAAAGUACUAGAUUUUGAGGUUUUUAAUAGCUCAAAUAUGCUAACUGCAGAGCAACAUGGCAGUUACAAUGGUUCCAUGUCCUAAUUAGUUAUUUUAUUUCGUUUUGCAGGCGUAUUAUCUUGGAGGUUGCUUCUUAUUUUUACUAUAGAUCAAGUUUCUUUGUUUCCUUUCUAGCUACCUCUGCUGCAUUUGUUUUAUAUAUCCUAUAUGCUUUAAAUAUCCUAUAUGCUGUCAUGAUCCUUGCUUCAGUGAUCAUGUUGAUUUUCCAGAUUUGGUCGGGUGUUGUGUUUUUUUUGGCCCUUGUGCGCUUUGAUCGAUGUGCUCUGGCUCUGUGACUGUGAUGAUGCACAGGCAAUGGCAGCAUCGGUGGCACGAGAGGAAGGAUGGGAAUCAGCUACUUGCAUUCGCACAGAGGAGGCAAUGUCGACGCGAUGGCACAGCAGAGGAGGCUGGGCUCGUUGUGGAGCUUCUUGAGGCAGCAGGAUGUCGGUGAGAGCAUCGCUGCCGGCAAUGGCUUGAGUGACCUCUUGAGGAUCUUCUCCAUGAGCACAUGUGACGACACCAACUCCAACGUCAUCUUCUCAGCGCCCGGCAGCAAGAAGGCCGAGGUGCUCGGCGACAGCGAUGUCGGCAUGGUCACCAGCUUCAGCAACAUCGACUCCCAGAUUCAGUUAGCCCUCUCGAGCUGGACAUGCCCAGCAUGGACGACUACCUGCAGCUGCAGCAGGACUCCGCCGACUGCAGAGUCCACGCCAAGCAUGGCUGCACCACUGACCCGCAGAGCAUCGCUUGGGAGGGAAAGAAGAACAAGGACCAAUAAGAGGCUAAGGAGGCUGCAAGACCUCAUUCCCUACAUGGACAAGGUCACAAGGCCAAUACACAUUCAGGAAAUAUGUGACCAGCUUCCCCAAGGUCCCGCAUCGUCUACUCAGUAAGCCAAGGUGGAGGUUGGGAAACAAAGAACUUGCCCAACUGUGGAAAUGGGCAGAACUAAACCCUAUAAACUUGCAGAUGGACACAUCUGCCAGAGAGACGGCGGUCAUGAGAGCCAGAAGAUCACAAGAGAUCGACCUUUUGGGUGGUCUAAUACUUCCUGUAUGGGCACAUAGAAAAGCCACUACGAUAAGCCGACACCUAAUAAGGAUCAGGAGAACAACAGAUAUGCUAAGAGACAACCUUUUGGGGUUAAGGAUAUAAACAACAACAGGGCUUAUGAGGCCGAAGAAAGCUCAAGUGGCGUCUUUUGGUUCUUGAAGACCUGCACGUUCCUGGUGGAGUAGAGCAAAAUAAUUUGAAGGCUUUAAAGCUACUGCACUUCAUGUAGUUAGGAUCAACUCUUUGUUUUAGUUUGAAAUAUUCCCCAUUUCCUCCUAUUUGAUUGAUUCAUCUGAUGGACAUUUUGUCAGGCAAAUAAACAAAAGGCAUAUGUAUUAUUACGAGUGAAGCCAUCCAUACUCCCAUGUGGAAUUCAAGAAAUAGAGAAAUGUUAUUGUUUUUCUACUAAUUGUUUGCUUGGCCAAAUGUAUUGUAAAUGAUUUAUUAUUGUUCAAGGUAUAGAGAAAUGUUAUUGUUCUUUA